AUUGAACGCUGGCGGCAUGCCUUACACAUGCAAGUCGAACGGCAGCACGGGUGCUUGCACCUGGUGGCGAGUGGCGAACGGGUGAGUAAUACAUCGGAACGUACCUUAUCGUGGGGGAUAACGCAGCGAAAGCUGUGCUAAUACCGCAUACGCCCUGAGGGGGAAAGCGGGGGAUCGCAAGCCCUCGCGCGAUUAGAGCGGCCGAUGCCUGAUUAGCUUGUUGGUGGGGUAAAAGCCCACCAAGGCGACGAUCAGUAGCUGGUCUGAGAGGACGAUCAGCCACACUGGGACUGAGACACGGCCCAGACACCUACGGGAGGCAGCAGUGGGGAAUUUUGGACAAUGGGGGCAACCCUGAUCCAGCAAUGCCGCGUGAGUGAAGAAGGCCUUCGGGUUGUAAAGCUCUUUUGUCAGGGAAGAAACACCGGCUCUAACACAGUCUGGGAAUGACGGUACCUGAAGAAUAAGCACCGGCUAACUACGUGCCAGCCGCCGCGGUAA
rnacentral:rRNA from 1 species